GUGCACCAGUCGCGAAAACUCCGCAAUACGCGAAAGUGCGACGAGGCUACUCCGAGUGCCAUCCGCUGAGGAUGGCUUUUGCCCGGUCUAAACCGCCUGGAGAAUAAGGGGAGGGCAAGUCUGGUGUCAGCCGCCGCGGUAAUACCAGCUCCUCGAGUGGUCGGGACGAUUAUUGGGCCUAAAGCAUCCGUAGCCGGUUCUGUAGGUCUCCUGUCAAAUUCAACGGCUCAACCGUUGAGCUGCAGGAGAGACCGCAGGGCUAGGAGGCGGGAGAGGUGGACGGUACUCCAUGGGUAUGGGUAAAAUCCUCUGAUCCAUGGAAGACCACCAGUGGCGAAGGCGGUCCACCAGAACGCGCUCGACGGUGAGGGAUGAAAGCUAGGGGAGCGAACCGGAUUAGAUACCCGGGUAGUCC
rnacentral:rRNA from 1 species